CUCUUCCCUGUCGGUGACAGCGAGCCCAUUCACACGCUGCGCUCUGCACAAAGUUUAGAUUAAACUCUUCGGUCACAAGUCGUUUUCUUUAAACCUCAGCCUAGGAGAAAGCACGUUCCUCCCCUCCAUGCCUUCUCUUCCUCCCCUUCGUCCUCCCUUCUCUCAUCCUCCUGCUUCACAAAACUUGGAUCCGACUCCUGUCUUUUCUCUUGACUGUACCUCAUGAACUACUCUCCAUAAGCCAACGUUUUCUCCCGUCAUGAUUUGAACGGUUCUAUUAGAUUCCACCCCCCACGAAUGCCUCUCGUGUAUUUUACUCUUCCCUAUUAUUAAAGCCACCCUUUGAGUUUCAAAGCAGAUGUUGUAGAACUUCCCUAUGCAAAAAGCGGGGCUAGCAACUGGACCUUUUCCCCAUGGUGGCCACCUCGAUGUUCUCCCUGCGACUUAUUUCCAGGUCUGCUUCCACUUCGUAUCAUCAUGAACUGCACACGAGCUUUGCAUCACAAGCCAUGCCAUUUUUUGAUGUGUUAGGAGUUUCUGCCUCUCCGGCAACUUCCUCAGCAUCCCGCAGGCUUGCUCUCUGGCUGGGUAGACCUACUCAGGUCAGCAGUUUGAUCGCUAGUCGUGCAGACAUGACCCACUGGACUAUGGAUGUUCUUUGUGCUUCUACUCUUACCAUUCAAUUACCAAAAUUCAUGGAGUAGUCAUUGCAUGGCCAAUCCCAUGCGAGGCAUGAUUUAAAAGGUGCAGUAUGGAGGUCUCUGAUGCUGAGGAUAAAAAUGGCAAUAAAAUAAAGCGGUGGUAUGUUAAUGGGUAACAUUAUCUAACACAAGUAUCAGAAACUAUCUUACGCAGGCAGGGUAUAUUUAUUAUUUACUUCUCACA